ensembl:lncRNA
GGGAGGAUGGCUGGCUCUGGCUGCUUCCUUCUCUCCUUAGAGAAUGUUGGGUCUUUCCAUGGAAGGGGCGGCCACGCAGCAGCUAACGCUGAUGCAGCUAAUGCCCAACUUACUUCCUGGUCACAUUUCCAUCCUCAGCUCAAUGAGGUACAGUAUUUAACUGACAGCUGCUGUCCUCAUAAAAGGUGCCAGCUCCUAAGAGGGCCCCCUGUGGCCACCAGGAUAACUGGUGGGUUGUGCUGAGUUCCUUCACAUUUCAGAUGUUCUAGAAGCCCCUAAAGACAGAAGUAGCCUUGGUUAAAUCAAUCAGUGACCAAGAAUGGAAUUUUCUACCCAAACAGCCUCAGCUGGGGGCUGGAGGAGCUCCCCUGCCUCCCAACCUGGGAACUACCAGCUCUGUUAGCCCAGAGCCUGGAGCUAAAUCCAAGGCUUUUUUCUGUUGCCUUGUGAGGUCUCAAAGGACUCAAGUGACCCAGUCUUGGGGUCCUGAAGGCCCAGGUUAGAUGGAUUACCUAAGACUUUGAAGCCGACGAGGGUGAAGCCGGCAGCUAGGUCUAAUCCCGUGGAGAGGGUCUGCAGGAAGUAGCCUACUCCCCCCUUACCGCCCAAAGACAGGUCCCUGGAAAGUGUAGCACCCCAUACCCUGCCUUCUGCAGUGCAGCUGGUCCUUCCCUCCCCGCUUGUCUGGAUCUCCUCUGCAAAGGGAGGAACAAAAGGAGGUGUCUGGCCAAGGUCACCAGUCAGUGCAUCAGGUCUGCCCCAUGGUGGAGCAGCAGCAGCUGGCAAAGGAGGAGGAAGCAGCUGUCCGCCAGGCUACCACCCAGACCUGGUCAGGAGGAGGCGAUGGGCCCCAGAGCCCUCCAUCCUGCAGAGGGUGGGGAGCAAGAGAGGCUGGACCGAGGCUGCCACACUGUCUGUCCCUUCUACCCCCAGAACAAAUGCCGGCUGUGGCCCCAGCAUGUGUGCUGGGAGUACCUUUGGGGCGCCCAACUCCCCUCCCUCCCAGGUGGCUGAGGUCCCCAGCCUUGGCGAAGUCCCCAGUCCUCUGUACCUUGUAAUAAACACAAUUCAAUGCUGUGUGUUCCAUUCGGGCAGGGUCCAGCUUGGCCCAGGGCUGGGUACGUAGUAGAUAUCUGGUAAACCUCUACUGCCAGAAUAGAGCCAGCCCCUCCCUUCCCACUGGCCAGGAGGUCUCCAACUGCCAAUCCUGCCCAGACCUCCCUUCCUGAGUUCUCCCUCUGGUUCCCUGCUUCCCUCAUCCCCCAGGGGUGCUGGCUGGGCUCCCGACCACUGCUCUGGCGCCCAGAUCCCCUCCAGGGCCCAGGUGACCUGGGCCCAGGCCCUAAGUUUCUAAGGAGCAGGUUUUAAUCUGUGCCUCCCAGACUCUUCAGAGCUCAUCUCUCCCCCCAUACUCACCCAUGGCUCCCUCCCACCCCAACACCUGGGGUCUGUCUGCUCAGGACCCCAUGGGCAGAACAAUUUUGCCAAAUCAUAUGUGGAGGCACACCACAGGUAGAGUCACAGUUGAUUAAAUAGACAGGAGGGGGAGCCAACCCAGAACCUCCCAUGCUCAGCCUCCCCCUUCCACUACAGCCCCUUCUCAGAACCUCCCGUGCCAGCUGGUCGAACUACUGCAAGGCUCACCAGAUCGCAAUCUUCAGGGGCAAGGGGUCAAGCAGGGCUAGAGGUGAGCCCCCUCUACCCAACCCAUAGGACCCUGCAUUCAAUGGGGGGCUGAAUCCCAACCUUAGAGGAGUGACUUGCCACAAUCACACAGCAAUUCACUGGCAGAGCUGGGCCUCCUGGAGGCUCAGAACCCCUCCAGAUGCCAAGGAUACACCUCUCAGCAAUGGGGUUCCUGGCACCUAGAGAGACAUCAGGGCAAGUGUGGGGGGCCAGGGCUGUCAGACGUGCUGGCCAGGAUAGAGACCUCCAAGACCCAGAGAGCAGCAGGGUGGCCCCGUCAGGUCUUGUUGGAGAAGGUGGAGCCUGUUGUAAAGAGCUGUUGAGCGAAGAGACAGGUGGGUGAGGCUGGCAAAGCCUGGGCACUGCUGGAAGGCAGCAACUCAGGGUGAAGGGCCCCUUCUGAGUCGGUCCUGCUGAAAGGUUGCCUUAGGGGUAUGGCACCUGGACAGGUGGCUGGGGCAGGGCCUGAGGACCCCAAGAACGUUCCAGGCCUCAGCACGUCAGCCCUAUGAUCUUCCCUGAGAACCUCAGAGUCUGGGGACAGAACCCAUGAACUGAAGGAGGGAGGGCAGAGGUGGUGACUGUCUGCCCCCAGUGAACUUAUACAAGUCCACCCACCUGUUCUAACUCAGCAUAGGAUCACGGACCCCGGAGAGUAUGGAGCCAGGCCUGGGGGAGCUCGCAGCCUGCUUUCUGCCUGGAGCCCCACCUCCUGUCUUCAUUUUUGCCCCAUUUCCCAUCCUUACCUGCAUCCAUGGGAUGUGGCCAGACAGAGGCCCCAGCGCAGUUCCCACUCCUCUGCCUCAGUUAGGAGCUAUUAAAAUAGUGCAGCUGACCAAGGCUUCUUUUCAAAGGGUCAUCAUUGUAGCAGAGCUCUUAGAACAGCACUAGGCACAUAGUGAAUGCUCAAUAAAUGUUGACCAUUAGUAUUAGUGCUGUAAUAACAGUGGUUGUGUCUGAAUUGCCUAGCAUGUGAGGCUGGCAUACUGAAGGUACCUAACGAAUGUUCAAAGCUGAUGUUACUGUUAUUGUUGUAAUUUGUUACAGCCAUCACAGUGUCUGGUGCAUAGCAGGUGCUAAAUGAAUGCUUAGUCCUCCUGGAAGGCCAAAUGCAUACAUUUCCCAUCUGGAAAAGAGGGACAUCGAGGCACUCUCCCUUGCUGGGCUUUGGCAGGGAGAGGGAGGUGUGCAGCAAGGGUCAAGUUCUAGGUGGGAGAGGCUGGCAGCACUGUUCUGACCUCCCCUUCUGCACUCCCACCCCAUUGAUUCAGAGGACUCUCCCUGAGGUUGGGGUGGGGUGGGCAGAGACCAUCUGGCCUUCCUUGGAGGAGGCUUGGACCCGGGGACCCAAGAAGGAGGAGCCCUGCUGGAACCUGCCUGCCUAGGUGGAGGUGGGCAGGGUGGGAGGGGUGGACUCGGGGAAGACCUGAAGGAGGUCCUUCCUGGAGAAGGAAGCCUGGGCUGUGCCCUGAAGAACAGGGAGUACUGAAGUGAAGGCAGAGCAUGCGAGUUGGGGCAGAUGAUGUGGAGCCUGAGAGAUGAGGAGACUGGGCCCUGGAGCAGACAGGGAGUCUGGGUCAAGCUGAGAGAAGCAACCGUGAAAGCCCUGGUCUGACAGGAAGUAGCCCCUGGGAGUAAACCUGUGCUGGGCUGGAAGCAUGUUCUUCCGCACUGCCCACCUUCCAGGGCCAACCCCUUAAGAUGCAGAAUGGGAGUGGGAAGUCCGGUGCAGCUGAGCCCCUGAGCCAGAGCUCUGCAGCCAGUCGCCCCCAGUUUGAGUGGCCUCAGUUGCCCGACUACCCAGGGGUUACCCUAGGAACCUUAGGAAUCAGCCAGGAUGGGAUACCACCACCCCUCAUACGUACAUACCCCACGCCCCACCAAGCUGACACCAGCCCAACUGGGCAGGGCUUCAGUGCCAGGGAGGGAGGAGGCUGUCCACUCUGCCAGCCGGGACAGAACAGCCUCAGCCUCCUGCUGGCCUGCUGGCCAGAGAAGGACAGGGAGGGGCUCUCGGGGCCACCCUGGCCUGAACCCAGCCCUCUAGAGGAUGGGGCAAGGACUGGUGCAUACCCUUCUCCCACCCUUUCACACUCCAAGCCUUUCUGAGAAAGAGGGAAAUACUCCCAGGAGCAAGUCACUGGGUCCUGGGAGGUGUGGGAGAUGAUGUCAGGGAGGAAGCAUGCAUUCAGCCACCAACUCCUGCAGCAACAUACAUGUGCACACACACAUUCAUGGGACUGCCACACGCAACCAUGCACAUAGGCACAUGCAAACGCACUCAAUGAUGGUGGCAGAUCUGUGCAAACCAGAGCCUGCACACAUACCCUCCCUGGAGACCUGAGACACAGCCGUGCAGAUGUCCUGGGUCACCUGCUGCAAGCCAGGCACUGUGCUAGGCACCGGGGAUGCAGCCAUGAGCCAGACAAACCCCAGCUCCCCUGAAGGCUGCCUUCUGACAGAUACAUCUAAAAUCUAGCUUUUGCACUGAAGUAUUUGCAGAUCAGAUUGUGUGAUGUCUGGAGUUUGCUGGAAGCAAGGGAUGUGGGAGAAUAAAAUAUUGGUCCAGCCUCGAUAAUUAUUGAAGCUGAAGUGUGGGCACUUCAUUAUACUAGUUUCUCUGUUUUUGUAUAUUUUUGAAACUUUUCAUAAUAAAAAGUUAAAUACAUUC